rnacentral:misc_RNA from 1 species
GUGAAUCAUCAAAUUUUUGAACGCAAAUUGCACUUUCUGGUAUUACGGAAAGUAUGCCUGUGUGAGGGUUAGUUAAAUAAAAAUCGUUGUUGCUGCUGCUUUUCGUGGUGAUGCGGCGGUAUUGAUUUGUCUUACCUUCGGUUAGGUUACUUAAAAUUUUGCAUGACUUUCUAACGUAUUUAAAUUU